GGCACCGUGGCUUAGUUGGUUAAAGCGCUUGUCUAGUAAACAGGAGAUCACGAGCUCUAAUCUCGUCGGGGCCU
rnacentral:tRNA from 1 species